rnacentral:rRNA from 1 species
CGUGUAGGCGGCCAGGUAGGUCCGACGUGAAAACUGGAGGCUCAACCUCCAGCUGUCGUUGGAAACCAUCUGGCUAGAGUCCGGAAGAGGAGAGUGGAAUUCCUGGUGUAGCGGUGAAAUGCGCAGAUAUCAGGAAGAACACCAAUGGCGAAGGCAGCUCUCUGGGACGGUACUGACGCUGAGACGCGAAAGCGUGGGGAGCGAACA